GACGAACGCUGGCGGCGUGCCUAAUACAUGCAAGUCGAGCGAAUCACUAGGAGCUUGCUCCUGGUGGUUAGCGGCGGACGGGUGAGUAACACGUGGGCAACCUGCCUGUAAGACUGGGAUAACACCGGGAAACCGGUGCUAAUACCGGAUAAUCCUUUUCCUCUCAUGAGGAAAAGCUGAAAGUCGGUUUCGGCUGACACUUACAGAUGGGCCCGCGGGGCAUUAGCUAGUUGGUGAGGUAACGGCUCACCAAGGCGACGAUGCGUAGCCGACCUGAGAGGGUGAUCGGCCACACUGGGACUGAGACACGGCCCAGACUCCUACGGGAGGCAGCAGUAGGGAAUCUUCCACAAUGGACGAAAGUCUGAUGGAGCAACGCCGCGUGAGCGAUGAAGGCCUUCGGGUCGUAAAGCUCUGUUGUUAGGGAAGAACAAGUACUGGAGUAACUGCCGGUACCUUGACGGUACCUAACCAGAAAGCCACGGCUAACUACGUGCCAGCCGCCGCCGUAACAC
rnacentral:rRNA from 1 species